rnacentral:rRNA from 1 species
AGUGAACGCUGGCGGUAGGCCUAACACAUGCAAGUCGAACGGCCGCACAGUAAGAGCUUGCUCUUAAGGGUGGCGAGUGGCGGACGGGUGAGGAAUACAUCGGAAUCUACUUUUUCGUGGGGGAUAACGUAGGGAAACUUACGCUAAUACCUCAUACGACCUACGGGUGAAAUCAGGAGAUCUUCGGACCUUGCGCGAUUGAAUGAGCCGAUGUCGGAUUAGCUAGUUGGCGGGGUAAGGGCCCACCAAGGCAACGAUCCGUAGCUGGUCUGAGAGGAUGAUCAGCCACACUGGAACUGAGACACGGUCCAGACUCCUACGGGAGGCAGCAGUGGGGAAUAUUGCACAAUGGGCGCAAGCCUGAUCCAGCCAUACCGCGUGGGUGAAGAAGGUCUUCGGGUUGUAAAGCUCUGUUGUUGGGAAAGAAAAGCAGCAGGUGAAUAUCCCGAUGUUCUGACGGUACCCAAAGAAUAAGCACCGGCUAACUUCGUG